GCACCUAUGGCGGAACUGGCAGACGCGCUAGACUUAGGAUCUAGUGAGGCAACUCGUACAGGUUCGAUUCCUGCUAGGUGCACCA
rnacentral:tRNA from 1 species